rnacentral:rRNA from 1 species
AGUGAACGAACCGCUGGUGUUCGGGUUGUCAUGCCAAUGGCAUUGCCCGGUAGCUAUGUUCGGAAUCGAUAACCGCUGAAAGCAUCUAAGCGGGAAGCGAGCCCCAAGAUGAGUCAUCCCUUGGACUUUAAGUCCACUAAAGAGCCGUUCGAGACUAGGACGUUGAUAGGUCAGGUGUGUAAGCGUUGUGAGGCGUUGAGCUAACUGAUACUAAUGACUCGAGAGGCUUAACCAUACAACCCAGAUGGGUUUU